rnacentral:lncRNA from 1 species
CGUCUCUCUGAGUGCUCUCGAUCCAGCGAAUAAGGGGUUUCCUUGAACCCGCUGGGUACGAGGUCGAGGAAACACUAAUCAACCCCUAAACAUGCCUAGCAAGGUGGGGUACACACAAGCUAUAUGGCAUCACACUCUAACACUACAACACUAACAACAAUAUCAUACAACAACUCAACCAGUUAGUCACUCCCUUACCAAGAGAU